CAGUAGCCGCGGUAAUACGUAGGUGGCAAGCGUUGUCCGGAAUUAUUGGGCGUAAAGGGCUCGCAGGCGGUUUCUUAAGUCUGAUGUGAAAGCCCCCGGCUCAACCGGGGAGGGUCAUUGGAAACUGGGAAACUAGAGUGCAGAAGAGGAGAGUGGAAUUCCACGUGUAGCGGUGAAAUGCGUAGAGAUGUGGAGGAACACCAGUGGCGAAGGCGACUCUCUGGUCUGUAACUGACGCUGAGGAGCGAAAGCGUGGGGAGCGAACAGGAUUAGAUACCCCGGUAGUCCCUGUCUCUUAUAC
rnacentral:rRNA from 1 species